GGGACGAAGGCCUUCGGGUUGUAAACCUCUUUCGGCAGGGACGAAGCGAAAGUGACGGUACCUGAAGAAGAAGCGCCGGCCAACUACGUGCCAGCAGCCGCGGUAAGACGUAGGGCGCAAGCGUUGUCCGGAUUUAUUGGGCGUAAAGAGCUCGUAGGCGGCUUGUCGCGUCGACUGUGAAAACCCACGGCUCAACCGCGGGACUGCAGUCGAUACGGGCAGGCUAGAGUUCGGUAGGGGAGACUGGAAUUCCUGGUGUAGCGGUGAAAUGCGCAGAUAUCAGGAGGAACACCGGUGGCGAAGGCGGGUCUCUGGGCCGAAACUGACGCUGAGGAGCGAAAGCGUGGGGAGCGAACAGGAUUAGAUACCCUGGUAGUCCACGCUGUAAACGUUGGGCGCUAGGUGUGGGGGGCCUCUCCGGUCCUCUGUGCCGCAGCUAACGCAUUAAGCGCCCCGCCUGGGGAGUACGGCCGCAAGGCUA
rnacentral:rRNA from 1 species